UACGAAGGGGGCUAGCGUUGUCCGGAAUUAUUGGGCGUAAAGAGCUCGUAGGCGGUCUGUCGCGUCUGCUGUGAAAACUCAGGGCUUAACCCUGAGCUUGCAGUGGGUACGGGCAGACUAGAGUGCGGUAGGGGAGACUGGAAUUCCUGGUGUAGCGGUGAAAUGCGCAGAUAUCAGGAGGAACACCGGUGGCGAAGGCGGGUCUCUGGGCCGUAACUGACGCUGAGGAGCGAAAGCAUGGGGAGCGAACAGG
rnacentral:rRNA from 1 species